rnacentral:rRNA from 1 species
UUGCGGCGUGCUACCUGCAAGUCGAGCGGGGAACUUCGGUUCCCAGCGGCGGACGGGUGAGUAACACGUGGGUAACCUGCCUUGUAGAGGGGGAUAGCCUUCCGAAAGGAAGAUUAAUACCGCAUAACAUUAUUUUAUCGCAUGAUAAGAUAAUCAAAGGAGCAAUCCGCUACAAGAUGGACCCGCGGCGCAUUAGCUAGUUGGUGAGGUAACGGCUCACCAAGGCGACGAUGCGUAGCCGACCUGAGAGGGUGAUCGGCCACAUUGGGACUGAGACACGGCCCUGACUCCUACGGGAGGCAGCAGUGGGGAAUAUUGCACAAUGGGGGAAACCCUGAUGCAGCAACGCCGCGUGAGUGAUGACGGUCUUCGGAUUGUAAAACUCUGUCUUCAGGGACGAUAAUGACGGUACCUGAGGAGGAAGCCACGGCUAACUACGUGCCAGCAGCCGCGGUAAUACGUAGGUGGCAAGCGUUGUCCGGAUUUACUGGGCGUAAAGGGUGCGUAGGCGGUUGUUUAAGUUUGGUGUGAAAUCUCCCGGCUCAACUGGGAGGGUGCGCCGAAUACUGAAUGACUAGAGUGCGGGAGAGGAUAGUGGAAUUCCUGGUGUAGCGGUGAAAUGCGUAGAUAUCAGGAGGAACACCGGUGGUGUAGACGGCUAUCUGGACCGUAACUGACGCUGAGGCACGAAAGCGUGGGGUAGCAAACAGGAUUAGAUACCCUGGUAGUCCACGCCCUAAACGAUGCAUAUUUGGUGUGGGCAGUUCAGUCUGUCCGUGC